AUCUGAAAUCAGGUAGGGCUACCCGCUGAACUUAAGCAUAUCAAUAAGCGGAGGAAAAGAAACUAACAAGGAUUCCCCUAGUAACGGCGAGUGAAGCGGGAAGAGCUCAAAUUUAAAAUCUGGUUUGCUUUGCAAAUCCGAGUUGUAGUCUGAAGAAACGUUUUCCAUGAAAGCUGAGGCACAAGUCCUUUGGAACAGGGCAUCAUAGAGGGUGAGAAUCCCGUCCAUGGUCUCAAGCCUUUCAUUUUGUGAUACGUUUUCUAAGAGUCAGGUUGUUUGGGAAUGCAGCCUAAAAUGGGUGGUAAAUUUCAUCUAAAGCUAAAUAUUGGCGAGAGACCGAUAGCGAACAAGUACCGUGAGGGAAAGAUGAAAAGAACUUUGAAAAGAGAGUUAAAAAGUACGUGAAAUUGUUGAAAGGGAACCGUUUGAAGCCAGUCUUGCUUGCUUGUGAUCAAUCUUUGCUUCGGCUUGGAUGCACUCUCAGGUUAUGCAGGUCAACGUCAGUUUGAGAGGUGGGAAAAAAGCUUGAGGAAUGUGGCCUUCGGGUGUUAUAGCCUCUUGCUAAAUACCAUCUUUUGGACUGAGGCUCGCAGCAAAAAUGUGGGCAGGUUUGCGUUUGAGGUGAUACAUUAUUAAGACAGCUUGCUGACUUAGUUUUGUCUAUCUUCACUGUAAGCUUCGCUUCUAAU
rnacentral:rRNA from 1 species